AUUUGAAAUCUGGCUGGUUUACUAGUCCGAGUUGUAAUUUAAAGAAGCGUUUUCGGUGGCAGCUGGGGUAUAAAUCCUUUGGAAUAGGGUAUCAUAGAGGGUGAGAAUCCCGUCUUUGACCUAGUGCAUGCUACUAUGUGAUACGUUUUCAAAGAGUCGAGUUGUUUGGGAAUGCAGCUCAAAAUGGGUGGUAAAUUUCAUCUAAAGCUAAAUAUUGGCGAGAGACCGAUAGCGAACAAGUACCGUGAGGGAAAGAUGAAAAGAACUUUGAAAAGAGAGUUAAACAGUGCGUGAAAUUGUUGAAAGGGAAACGUUUGACACCAGUCAUGUGGGUGGAAAAUCAGUCUUUUGCAUUGGGGAGUUGUAAAGGUUCGGACCGCAAGGCCGGCUUUUGCUUCAUCUUUGGUGUAAGGGAUGCACUUUUUCAUCUACAGGUCAACAUCAGUUUCUUUUGCUGGACAAAACUCCGAGAGAAGGUAGCAGCUUAGGCUGUGUUAUAGCUCUGGAGCGAUACAGUGAAGGGGACUGAGGUUUUCGCAGCGUGUGCUCUCGGGCAAGGCUGGAUGGGUGCUAUGGGAUCGUUCGGGGUACAAUGCCUGGCAUUUUGCUUCGUGUCUUUUCUAUACUCGCUCAACUCAGCUCUUCCACGCUUAGGAUGUUGACUUAAUGGUUUUAAACGACCCGUCUUGAAACACGGACCAAGGAGUCUAACAUAUAUGCAAGUGUUUGGGUGGCAAACCCAUGCGCGUAAUGAAAGUGAACGUAGGUGCGAUCCGCAAGGUGCAGCAUCGACCGAUCUUGAUAUUUUUGGAUAGAUUUGAGUAAGAGCAUAUAUGCUGGGACCCGAAA
rnacentral:rRNA from 1 species